rnacentral:lncRNA from 1 species
GGUGUUGGCCUCUUUAGAGAGAAAAUGGAGAGACAAUUCUCACCAAUUUUCCCCAAAAAUAAACCCUUAAUGAAUUUUAGCUAUAAAGUCAUUUAUAUAGUCACUUCUUUAAGUGACCUAAAUAACCAAUACCCUAAUUCAUCACACUAUGGCCGGCCAUUUAGGAAUUUUGGGCUUUUUGGGCUUUAAUGAAUCUUUAUUCAUUAAAUUGUCAUACAACUUAAGUUAAUGGGCUUGACGUUCAAAGCCCAUCGGGCCUUAAGGUCCAAAACUAUCCCGAAGUCAUUUAACGAACUUAUUCGUUUGAUUAAUUAACAUAUUAAUU